rnacentral:piRNA from 1 species
UACGACACCCUGGACAGAGAUGA